UUUUUUAUUUCAAGAUGCGGUUGUCUUUCAAGAGUACUAAAUUUUUAUGUCCAGUGUGCAACUUGUUUAAGCCGUGUGAACACCAACGCCGACACCCACGCCCACGAUCCCUGCCCUCUCUGCUUCCCACUUUCAGUAAUAUCUCUAAAUGCCUUCCUAUCUAGGUUGGGAUGAAAUCCCUAUUCCUACUCUCUCUGUUUCCUCUUCUCUUCCUUUAUUUUUGCUGGUUUUGGUGGUUCUCUCCUUGGCUAUGAUGUCUGCAUCCUCUGGUGGACAUUUCCUUCGGUCGCUUUCUAUUUUGGGGUAUGAAAUGUAAAUAUUUUGGGGUAUGGACGAUAGCAUGCAUUCUGUCACCACCAUUCUCCGUUUUGUCGAUGUGGUCUGAAUCGCCCGGUAAGUUGUGCGCUACAAAGUUGUCUCCUGUCUCAGUUACUUCUUUUUUAAGAAAUGGGGCAAUUUUUUAAGAUAAAAAUAACUUUACCGUGCAUGUCCAUAGUAUCGUAUCAAUCAUUUUUUUACUUUUUCC